UACGAAGGGGGCAAGCGUUGUUCGGAAUCACUGGGCUUAAAGCGCACGUAGGCGGCUAUGUAAGUCAGAGGUGAAAGCUCGUGGCUCAACGAUAGAACUGCCUUUGAUACUGUUAAGCUUGAGAGUAGGUGAGGUUAGUGGAAUUUGACAUGUAGAGGUGAAAUGCGUAGAUAUGUGAUAGAACACAGGUUGCGAAGGCGGCCGGCUAGCCUGAUAUUGACGCUGAGGUGCGAAAGCGUGGGUAGCGAAUAGG
rnacentral:rRNA from 1 species